rnacentral:rRNA from 1 species
AAUGAACGCUGGCGGCGUGCCUAAUACAUGCAAGUCGAGCGAACAGACGAGGAGCUUGCUCCUCUGACGUUAUCGGCGGACGGGUGAUGAACACGUGUAUAACCUACCUAUAAGACUGGGAUAACUUCGGGAAACCGGAUCUAAUACCGGAUAACAUGUUGAACCUCAUGGUUCAACAGUGAAAGACGGUCUUGCUGUCACUUAUAGAUGGAUCCGCGCCGCAUUAGCUAGUUGGUAAGGUAACGGCUUACCAAGGCAACGAUGCGUAGCCGACCUGAGAGGGUGAUCGGCCACACUGGAACUGAGACACGGUCCAGACUCCUACGGGAGGAAGCAGUAGGGAAUCUUCCGCAAUGGGCGAAAUCCUGACGGAGCAACGCCGCGUGAGUGAAGAAGGUCUUCGGAUCGUAAAACUCUGUUAUUAGGGAAGAACAAAUGUGUAAGUAACCAUGCACGUCUUGACGGUACCUAAUCAGAAAGCCACGGCUAACUACGUG